rnacentral:rRNA from 1 species
GACGUAGGGCGCGAGCGUUGUCCGGAUUUAUUGGGCGUAAAGAGCUCGUAGGCGGCUUGUCGCGUCGACUGUGAAGACUCGGGGCUCAACUCCGAGCUUGCAGUCGAUACGGGCAGGCUAGAGUUCGGUAGGGGAGACUGGAAUUCCUGGUGUAGCGGUGAAAUGCGCAGAUAUCAGGAGGAACACCGAUGGCGAAGGCAGGUCUCUGGGCCGAUACUGACGCUGGGGAGCGAAAGCGUGGGGAGCGAACAGG